rnacentral:rRNA from 1 species
CCUACGGGCGGCAGCAGUGGGGAAUAUUGGACAAUGGGGGGAACUCUGAUCCAGCGACGCCGCGUGAGUGAAGAAGUAUUUCGGUAUGUAAAGCUCUAUCAGCAGGGAAGAAAAUGACGGUACCUGACUAAGAAGCCCCGGCUAACUACGUGCCAGCAGCCGCGGUAAUACGUAGGGGGCAAGCGUUAUCCGGAUUUACUGGGUGUAAAGGGAGCGUAGGCGGGGCAGCAAGUCUGAUGUGAAAGGUCGGGGCUCAACCCGGGGGCUGCGUUGGAAACUGUUGGACUGGAGUGCAGGAGAGGUAAGCGGAAUUCCUAGUGUAGCGGUGAAAUGCGUAGAUAUUAGGAGGAACACCAGUGGCGAAGGCGGCUUGCUGGGCUUUAACUGACGUUGAGGCUCGAAAGCGUGGGGAGCAAACAGGAUUAGAUACCCCUGUAGUC